CACACCGCCCGUCACACCAUGGGAGUCGAUUGCUCCAAAAGUGCCUGAGCCAACCGCAAGGAGGCAGGGCCCCAAGGAGUGAUCGGUAACUGGGGUG
rnacentral:rRNA from 1 species